UACUGCAAGAAGCAAGGGCACUGAAAGAGGAAUUGUCCUCAAUACAUUGCCUCCCUGAAUCCGAACAGACCGAGAAAGAAGUAAGUUAUUGCUGAAGAAGAUAAUUAUAUGAUAACAUUUUGUAAUUUCUUAAUUUAUGAUUCUACUACCUAGGUAUUAGAUACCGAAAGUUUUUUUAAUAUUUACAAUUCAUUACAGGAUCUACAGGUC
rnacentral:lncRNA from 1 species